rnacentral:rRNA from 1 species
AUUGAACGCUGGCGGCAUGCUUUACACAUGCAAGUCGAACGGUAACAGGCCUUCGGGUGCUGACGAGUGGCGAACGGGUGAGUAAUGCAUCGGAACGUGCCCAGAGGUGGGGGAUAACGCAGCGAAAGCUGUGCUAAUACCGCAUGUGAUCUGAGGAUGAAAGCGGGGGACCAAGCAGCAAUGUUUGGCCUCGCGCCUCUGGGGCGGCCGAUGUCAGAUUAGGUAGUUGGUGGGGUAAAGGCCUACCAAGCCGACGAUCUGUAGCUGGUCUGAGAGGACGACCAGCCACACUGGGACUGAGACACGGCCCAGACUCCUACGGGAGGCAGCAGUGGGGAAUUUUGGACAAUGGGCGCAAGCCUGAUCCAGCAAUGCCGCGUGCGGGAAGAAGGCCUUCGGGUUGUAAACCGCUUUUGUACGGAACGAAAAGGCUCUGGCUAAUACCUGGGGCUGAUGACGGUACCGUAAGAAUAAGCACCGGCUAACUACGUG